UACGAAGGGGGCUAGCGUUGUUCGGAAUUACUGGGCGUAAAGGGUGCGUAGGCGGGUCUUUAAGUCAGGGGUGAAAUCCUGGAGCUCAACUCCAGAACUGCCUUUGAUACUGAGGAUCUUGAGUUCGGGAGAGGUGAGUGGAACUGCGAGUGUAGAGGUGAAAUUCGUAGAUAUUCGGAAGAACACCAGUGGCGAAGGCGACUUACUGGACACAUAUUGACGCUGAGGUGCGAAAGCGUGGGGAGCAAACAGG
rnacentral:rRNA from 1 species